ACGUAGGUGGCGAGCGUUGUCCGGAAUUAUUGGCCGAAAAGCGGCGCAGGGGGGGGGAUAAGGUUUUUUUAAAAAGGGCGGGCUCAAACCAGGGAUGGGGAAGAAACUGUAUACCUUGAGUGCAGGAGGGGCAGGCGGAAUUCCCAGUGUAGCGGUGAAAUGCGUAGAUAUUGGGAGGAACACCAGUGGCGAAGGCGGCCUGCUGGACUGUAACUGACACUGAGGCGCGAAAGCCAGGGGAGCAAACGG
rnacentral:rRNA from 1 species